rnacentral:rRNA from 1 species
GACGAACGCUGGCGGCGUGCUUAACACAUGCAAGUCGUACGGUAAGGCCCUUUCGGGGGUACACGAGUGGCGAACGGGUGAGUAACACGUGAGUAACCUGCCCACAACUUUGGGAUAACGCUAGGAAACUGGUGCUAAUACUGGAUAUGUGCUCCUGCUGCAUGGUGGGGGGUGGAAAGCUCCGGCGGUUGUGGAUGGACUCGCGGCCUAUCAGCUUGUUGGUGGGGGAGUGGCCUACCAAGGCGGGGACGGGUAGCCGGCCUGGGAGGGUGACCGGCCACAUUGGGACUGAGAUACGGCCAAGACUCCUACGGGGGGCAGCAGUGGGGAAUAUUGCACAAUGGGCGCAAGCCUGAUGCAGCAACGCCGCGUGCGGGAUGACGGCCUUCGGGUUGUAACCCGCUUUCAGCAGGGACGAAGCUUUUUGUGACGGUACCUGCAGAAGAAGCACCGGCUAACUACGUG